UUAAGUCCCAUAACGAGCCGCAACCCUACCUUAGUUGCCAUCAGGUAAUGCUGGGGACUCUAAAGGAACUGCCUACGCAAGUAGUGAGGAAGCGGGGAUGACGUCAAAUCAGCACGGCCCUUACGUCCAGGGCUACACACGUGCUACAAUGGCCGAUACAGAGGGCAGCUACCUGGUGACAGGAUGCAAAUCUCCAAAGUCGGUCUCAGUUCGGAUCGGAGUCUGCAACCCGACUCCGUGAAGUUGGAUUCGCUAGUAAUCGCGCAUCAGCCAUGGCGCGGUGAAUACGUUCCCGGGCCUU
rnacentral:rRNA from 1 species